GACGUAGGGCGCGAGCGUUGUCCGGAUUUAUUGGGCGUAAAGAGCUCGUAGGCGGCUUGUCGCGUCGACUGUGAAAUCCCGCGGCUCAACUGCGGGUCUGCAGCCGAUACGGGCAGGCUAGAGUUCGGUAGGGGAGACUGGAAUUCCUGGUGUAGCGGUGAAAUGCGCAGAUAUCAGGAAGAACACCCGUGGCUAAGGCGGUUCUCUAGUACGGUACUGACGCUGAGACGCGAAAGCGUGGGGAGCGAACAGG
rnacentral:rRNA from 1 species